AAUCCAUAGGUUAAUGAGGCGAACCGGGGGAACUGAAACAUCUAAGUACCCCGAGGAAAAGAAAUCAACCGAGAUUCCCCCAGUAGCGGCGAGCGAACGGGGAGGAGCCCAGAGCCUGAAUCAGCAUGUGUGUUAGUGGAAGCGUCUGGAAAGGCGCGCGAUACAGGGUGACAGCCCCGUACACAAAAGCGCAUGUGCUGUGAGCUCGAUGAGUAGGGCGGGACACGUGGUAUCCUGUCUGAAUAUGGGGGGACCAUCCUCCAAGGCUAAAUACUCCUGACUGACCGAUAGUGAACCAGUACCGUGAGGGAAAGGCGAAAAGAACCCCGGCGAGGGGAGUGAAAAAGAACCUGAAACCGUGUACGUACAAGCAGUGGGAGCACAGGUUUACCUGUGUGACUGCGUACCUUUUGUAUAAUGGGUCAGCGACUUAUAUUCUGUAGCAAGGUUAACCGAAUAGGGGAGCCGGAGGGAAACCGAGUCUUAACCGGGCGUUAAGUUGCAGGGUAUAGACCCGAAACCCGGUGAUCUAGCCAUGGGCAGGUUGAAGGUUGGGUAACACUAACUGGAGGACCGAACCGACUAAUGUUGAAAAAUUAGCGGAUGACCUGUGGCUGGGGGUGAAAGGCCAAUCAAACCGGGAGAUAGCUGGUUCUCCCCGAAAGCUAUUUAGGUAGCGCCUCGUGAAUUCAUCUCCGGGGGUAGAGCACUGUUUCGGCUAGGGGGCCAUCCCGGCUUACCAACCCGAUGCAAACUGCGAAUACCGGAGAAUGUUAUCACGGGAGACACACGGCGGGUGCUAACGUCCGUCGUGAAGAGGGAAACAACCCAGACCGCCAGCUAAGGUCCCAAAGUCAUGGUUAAGUGGGAAACGAUGUGGGAAGGCCCAGACAGCCAGGAUGUUGGCUUAGAAGCAGCCAUCAUUUAAAGAAAGCGUAAUAGCUCACUGGUCGAGUCGGCCUGCGCGGAAGAUGUAACGGGGCUAAACCAUGCACCGAAGCUGCGGCAGCGACACUCAGGUGUUGUUGGGUAGGGGAGCGUUCUGUAAGCCUGCGAAGGUGGCCUGUGAGGGUUGCUGGAGGUAUCAGAAGUGCGAAUGCUGACAUAAGUAACGAUAAAGCGGGUGAAAAGCCCGCUCGCCGGAAGACCAAGGGUUCCUGUCCAACGUUAAUCGGGGCAGGGUGAGUCGACCCCUAAGGCGAGGCCGAAAGGCGUAGUCGAUGGGAAACGGGUUAAUAUUCCCGUACUUGGUGUUACUGCGAAGGGGGGACGGAGAAGGCUAUGUUGGCCGGGCGACGGUUGUCCCGGUUUAAGCGUGUAGGUGUGUGUUCCAGGUAAAUCCGGUUCACUUUAACACUGAGGCGUGAUGACGAGGCACUACGGUGCUGAAGCAACAAAUGCCCUGCUUCCAGGAAAAGCCUCUAAGCAUCAGGUAACAUCAAAUCGUACCCCAAACCGACACAGGUGGUCAGGUAGAGAAUACCAAGGCGCUUGAGAGAACUCGGGUGAAGGAACUAGGCAAAAUGGUGCCGUAACU
rnacentral:rRNA from 1 species